CAACCCUCAUGACGUCUUACAUCGUAAGCGUCAAAAGUAUAAAAAAGCGACUUCCUUCGUCUUCCAUUUUUCUUGGUUGCCACUCUUGGGUCAUAUCGUACAUCUUCCUGGAUCAUAUGUUGACACCACGUGCCUUCAUCAAUCUUCGCUUACAGCAAAGUAAAAUUAAAUAUGAUCAGUGUACCUUCGGCCACGAAGACAUUCAGCAGAGACGAAGCAUUUGUGAAGAAAGGCGACUCAGUGUGUCAGAUUUUUAUGGGAGGCGACCCUAUAGGCUCAGGAUUCUUGUUCGCUCAUAACUAUAUUCUAACAAAUGCCCAUGUUGUCAUGGAUUACCGCAGUAAUUCAGAUACAUUUCUUAUUAAGUUUGCCUGUGGGAUUUCAAGAAAUGUUCACAUUGAAGGACGAGUUGUUACUUUCUGUUACGGUUAUGACCCGUUUGGGCGUUGGUUGGAUUACGCUUUACUGGAGCUGUGUCAAGAUGCCAUAUUACCUGCUCCGCUCCUUAAGUUUUACGCUCCCCCUCCAAAGCAAGGCCAAACUUGCAUUAUUGGUUAUCCCAGUGAAGGGGGCAAGUGUGCAGAGUACAGUCAUAUAAAUGAAUUAGAACUGUACGAUGCUGACAACGUAAAUAUCCAAAAAAUACUAAGCAGUCAUCUUAUCAUUUACCCAACCAGUAUGCUUCACGGGUCUUCUGGGUCACCUGGUUUUGUAGCUCUUAACCUGGUAUUCAUGCAUACUGGGGGCUUCACUUACAGAGGUAAACUGAUUAAAGAUCAGAUUGGGUAUGGCAUUCCACUCAGGUCAAUAAUAUGCCAUCUUUUCCUGUGGAUCACAGAGAAUGAGGAUUCACACCUUCUUUCACAUUUUAUUUCUGAAGCUCUUCUGCAUUCACUAAUUCCCCUCGUUGCCGACUGCAGUCUUGAUCUGGAGAACGCAUUCCCAACCAUGCCCGGCCUCCCUUGUAAAACUGAGAGACUCUGUCGCGUUCUCCGUCAGAAUAUUUCAGCAGAGAACUUGCAGGCACUUAUGAAUCAACUAGCAGGCGAUACGUACGACGAAAAGCUUCGCUGGAUUCUCUCCGAAUUACAGGAUACUUGCGACAAACACCACGAUUCUGAAGAUCCGGAGUGUGGUACACCGAUGGAGAUUGAUUAAUAUUACUAAAAUUGCAACACUGUAAAAAUGCAAUUCAGAAAUAAAACCCUUGGAGUUAAUCA
rnacentral:lncRNA from 1 species